GGUACUAAUUUUGUUAUUGUGUUUGAUUUGAAAUCUUACAACUUGCGUUUAUUCGCAAUACUU
rnacentral:tRNA from 1 species